CCCCGCAUCAUUUAGUGGCAGGAUGCCUGUCUGUCGAGCAGGGUGCCGGAGUUCGAUUCUCCGUGUGGGGG
rnacentral:tRNA from 1 species